rnacentral:rRNA from 1 species
GAUGAACGCUGGCGGCGUGCCUAAUACAUGCAAGUCGAGCGAACAGACGAGGAGCUUGCUCCUCUGACGUUAGCGGCGGACGGGUGAGUAACACGUGGAUAACCUACCUAUAAGACUGGGAUAACUUCGGGAAACCGGAGCUAAUACCGGAUAAUAUAUUGAACCGCAUGGUUCAAUAGUGAAAGUCGGUUUUGCUGUCACUUAUAGAUGGAUCCGCGCCGCAUUAGCUAGUUGGUAAGGUCACGGCUUACCAAGGCAACGAUGCGUAGCCGACCUGAGAGGGUGAUCGGCCACACUGGAGCUGAGUCACGGUCCAGACUCCUACGGGAGGCAGCAGUAGGGAAUCUUCCGCAAUGGGCGAAAGCCUGACGGAGCAACGCCGCGUGAGUGAUGAAGGUCUUCGGAUCGUAAAACUCUGUUAUUAGGGAAGAACAAAUGUGUAAGUAACUAUGCACGUCUUGACGGUACCUAAUCAGAAAGCCACGGCUAACUACGUG